AAAACGACUCUCGGCAACGGAUAUCUCGGCUCUCGCAUCGAUGAAGAACGUAGCGAAAUGCGAUACUUGGUGUGAAUUGCAGAAUCCCGUGAACCAUCGAGUCUUUGAACGCAAGUUGCGCCCGAAGCCAUUAGGCUGAGGGAACGUCUGCCUGGGCGUCACG
rnacentral:rRNA from 1 species